rnacentral:rRNA from 1 species
ACGAAGGGGGCUAGCGUUGUUCGGAAUAACUGGGCGUAAAGCGCGCGUAGGCGGGCUGUUAAGUCAGGGGUGAAAUCCCGGGGCUCAACCCCGGAACUGCCUUUGAUACUGGCAGCCUAGAGUUCGAGAGAGGUGAGUGGAAUUCCGAGUGUAGAGGUGAAAUUCGUAGAUAUUCGGAGGAACACCAGUGGCGAAGGCGGCUCACUGGCUCGAAACUGACGCUGAGGUGCGAAAGCGUGGGGAGCAAACAG